GAAAACAAAUGUCCAACUCCGAAUCGGGGAAAUUAAAAAGUGUUCAAAGUUGAACGCACAUUUAUUUGGAGCCCGUGGAUGGAGUGGUUUGAAAGCUAUAGAGAUUUGACACCGCAAGAAAAUUAGCUGAAUAUCCACUCUGUGGCUGUGUUUACCUCGCUCCCUUGGCCGACCUGCAGUCAGCUUCACCGGCGACUCCCCAAAAUAGCAUGCAUAGAAGGACGGCCUUGAAAGAAUGUAGGCUAGGCCUACUCUGCGCUGCACCAUGGCGACAGGAGCACCAAUAACCCAACAAAUUACAACUGAUCACCGGGAGAGGACAAGACCGUGUGUGAUUAUUCGUCUCGAGGAAAUAGAGGACUGUUUAAUUUACAAUCGACACGGGGUUUCUUUCCAUUUCAAAGAAUUAUAUCAAUAGAGAAAAGCAAUCAUUGUGUUUGUGCGGAACUUCCUGUGUUACACGUGCAAGGAAUAUGUCGACGACUUAAGCAGAAUACCCCGAGACGUGUUGAAGUCAUUCUGCUCUCUGACUGGAUAACCCUAUGAAAUAUAUGUGGACCCUGACAGAUGGAUUUAUAACAAGCUUGGUAUGCAGCGAAGAGAAACCUUUAUGGAAUCGGUUUGACUACAUAGGGCUGCGCUUUACCACCGCCAUCUGGUGGUUUACAAUUACAACUGCACUUGUAAUGCUCACAUUAAACCAUUAGAUGGCGAUAUUGAAGCGCAACCCAAUGGUGGCAUUUUAAUAGUACCCCUUUAAAAACUAUGGAGGACUAAAA